AGCUUUGUGCAGUGGCAGUAUAGUAGCCAAUGAGGUUUAUCUGAGGCGUGAUUAUUGCUAACUGAAAACUUUUCCCAAAACUACAGAUGAGGUUAGAUCUCAUACCUGAGGCCAUUAAUACAAGACCUACAAGGA